GCCUGGGUGGCUCAAUUGGUUGAGCGACUGACUUCGGCUCAGGUCAUGACCUCUCACGGUCUGUGAGUUCGAGCCCCGUGUCGGGCU
rnacentral:tRNA from 1 species